UACCAGCACCCCGAGUGGUCGGGACGAUUAUUGGGCCUAAAGCGUCCGUAGCCGGUCAUGCAAGUCUUCCGUUAAAUCCAGCCGCUCAACGGGUGGGCUGCGGAGGAUACUACGUGGCUAGGAGGCGGGAGAGGCAAGCGGUACUCAGUGGGUAGGGGUAAAAUCCUUUGAUCCAUUGAAGACCACCAGUGGCGAAGGCGGCUUGCCAGAACGCGCUCGACGGUGAGGGAUGAAAGCUGGGGGAGCAAACCGG
rnacentral:rRNA from 1 species